rnacentral:rRNA from 1 species
GUCCAUGCCGUAAACGAUGUGCACUAGGUGUCAGCCCCUCUGGGGUUGGUGCCGCAGUUAACACUUUAAGUGCACCACCUGGGGAGUACGGUCGCAAGACUGAAACUCAAAGGAAUUGACGGGGACCCGCACAAGCGGUGGAGCAUGUGGUUUAAUACGACGCUACGCGUGGAACCUUACCAGGACUUGACAUGCAUAUGAAAGCCCAGCGAAAGCUGGGACCUAUCCUAAAGAUACAUUUGCACAGGUGUUGCAUGGCUGUCGU